CCGACUUGUUCGAGGGAGGGCAGAUCUUCGGAACAGGAAGCAUUGAGAUCAAGAACCUCUCGAAGACAAGCUUGAAUUGAAACGCCUCGCCGAGGAUAUCAGACGUCACCGUUAUCGUCGCUCUCGGCAUCUUGUUCUCGCGGAUAACGAACUCGUUGAAUAAUGCGUUUCGCCAACGCCACGACAAGUUCAAUCACAUGCCG
rnacentral:lncRNA from 1 species